GAUGAAGAACGCAGCGAAAUGCGAUAAGUAAUGUGAAUUGCAGAAUUCAGUGAAUCAUCGAAUCUUUGAACGCACCUUGCGCCCCUUGGUUAUUCCGAAGGGCAUGCCUGUUUGAGUAUCAUGAACACCUCAACUCUUGUGGUUUCUCACAAUGAGCUUGGACCAUGGAGGUUUUUGUUGGCCCUCUGGUCAGCUCCUCUCAAAUGGAUCAGCUUACCGGUGUUUGGUGGCAUCAUGGGUGUGAUAACUAUCUACGCUUGUGGUCGUCUCCAAAUAACCUCCAGUGAUGGAGGUUCGCUGGAGCUUAUAAACGUCUCUCCCCAGUGAAGACAGCCUUUGAACGUUCGAUCUCAAAUCAGGUAGGACUACCCGCUGAACUUAAGCAUAUCAAUAAGCGGAGGA
rnacentral:misc_RNA from 1 species